rnacentral:rRNA from 1 species
GACGAACGCUGGCGGCGUGCCUAACACAUGCAAGUCGAGCGAGAGACUUCGGUCUCUAGCGGCGGACGGGUGAGUAACACGUGGGUAACCUGCCUCAUAGAGGGGGAUAGCCUCCCGAAAGGGAGAUUAAUACCGCAUAAUAUGGAUUAAUCGCAUGAUUGAUUCAUUAAAGGAGUAAUCCGCUAUGAGAUGGACCCGCGGCGCAUUAGCUAGUUGGAGAGGUAAAGGCUCACCAAGGCGACGAUGCGUAGCCGACCUGAGAGGGUGAUCGGCCACAUUGGAACUGAGACACGGUCCAGACUCCUAUGGGAGGCAGCAGUGGGGAAUAUUGCACAAUGGGGGAAACCCUGAUGCAGCAACGCCGCGUGAGUGAUGAAGGCCUUCGGGUUGUAAAGCUCUGUCAUUGGGGACGAUAAUGACGGUACCCAAUGAGGAAGCCACGGCUAACUACGUGCCAGCCGCCGCAGUAAUAC